rnacentral:tRNA from 1 species
CGGGCGGUGGCGCAGCUUGGCAGCGCGCACGGUUCGGGUCCGUGAGGUCGCGAGUUCAAAUCUCGCCCGCCCGA